CAUUUUAUUGUUUUUCUGCAGAUAAAAGUUCCUUGCGGUCUCACAAAACAGUUUGUAUUAACAUGCUCAAAUGGAUCUUCCCAUCCAUUAUGCACUCAUGAUGUUCGAAUGCGUGACACUCUUGUGUUGACUAUGCGGAUGUAUCAGAGUAAGGCGUUGGAUGACAAAAAGAAAGGAAGAGCAUGAUCUCAGAAUCGUGUCCAAACUUACACUUUCAAAUAAGAAAAGAAAGGUAUUACAUUGAAUUAAUACAUCACCUGGAGAUAUUUUACAAUUAUUUUGGUUCUGUUGUUAUUGUUAAUUUAUAAAUGUUUAUGAUGUAAGUAGGAAUUAUAGCAUGCAAUUUGCCUUGUGAUUUCAUAGUAGCCUCCCCUGUAUGCAAAUUUGUUUACUUCACUUUAACAAAGUUAUUCAAAAGUUAUCACACUUGUGACUUGUGCUUUUAA